AGUCCAGACUCCUACGGGAGGCAGCAGUGGGGAAUAUUGCGCAAUGGGGGAAACCCUGACGCAGCAACGCCGCGUGAGUGAAGAAGUAUCUCGGUCUGUAAAGCUCUAUCAGCGGGGAAGAAGGAAGACGGUACCCGACUAAGGAGCCCCGGCUAACUACGUGCCAGCAGCCGCGGUAAUACGUAGGGGGCGAGCGUUAUCCGGAUUUACUGGGUGUAAAGGGAGCGUAGACGGCGGCGCAAGUCUGAAGUGAAAGCCCGUGGCUCAACCGCGGAACCGCUUUGGAAACUGCGAGGCUGGAGUGUUGGAGAGGUAAGCGGAAUUCCUAGUGUAGCGGUGAAAUGCGUAGAUAUUAGGAGGAACACCAGUGGCGAAGGCGGCUUACUGGACAGUAACUGACGUUGAGGCUCGAAAGCGUGGGGAGCAAACAGGAUUAGAUACCCGUGUACA
rnacentral:rRNA from 1 species